ACCAGAAAGCAUCUCAUCUUGGGAAAACCUGGCUAGCAGAAAUCUGUGUGGCAGAAAGUUUGCCCUUAGAGCUGCAUUCUCAAAUGGCCAAGGCAUGUGAAGUAGAACUACAGCAUCCAACAGAUUUCAUGGCUGAGAACUCACAUUUGUUACACAACCACCGAGAAUGCUUUAUACUCAACCAAACUGCUGACAUAAAGGAACUCCAACAACAGCUUCUAAGCUAGAAGAAGCCAACAAUGAGUAACAAAAAUCAAGCUAAUGUAAGAUCUAGAGGGUGAUCAGUCCAAAGAAACACAAACAGAUCCAGGGAGCUAGAAUUUCUCAGUGGGGGAGAGAUCUGAUGGAGAUUCAAGUACAAUACCAAGGAGAGCUCUGCCGUGAACAAACCUGAUUUCCAAAUUAACAACUGGUCAUGCUGGCUCUGCACCUUUGUAAGAGAAUGCUGUCUAUAUCCUGCAGUAUUAAUGAAAAUCCAUUCCCAAGGAUCUGAUUUUUAAAGCUUCUCCCUGUAAAGGAUGGAAUCUAUUCUGUCUCUGGAAUCUGGGCUGCCCCUGUGAGUGAGACCAUCAUAGACCACAGAGUCCAG